rnacentral:rRNA from 1 species
GAGGUUAAGCGACUAAGCGUACACGGUGGAUGCCCUGGCAGUCAGAGGCGAUGAAGGACGUGCUAAUCUGCGAUAAGCGCCGGUAAGGUGAUAUGAACCGUUAUAACCGGCGAUUUCCGAAUGGGGAAACCCAGUGUGACUCGUCACACUAUCAUUAACUGAAUCCAUAGGUUAAUGAGGCGAACCGGGGGAACUGAAACAUCUAAGUACCCCGAGGAAAAGAAAUCAACCGAGAUUCCCCCAGUAGCGGCGAGCGAACGGGGAGGAGCCCAGAGCCUGAAUCAGCAUGUGUGUUAGUGGAAGCGUCUGGAAAGGCGCGCGAUACAGGGUGACAGCCCCGUACACAAAAGCGCAUGUGCUGUGAGCUCGAUGAGUAGGGCGGGACACGUGGUAUCCUGUCUGAAUAUGGGGGGACCAUCCUCCAAGGCUAAAUACUCCUGACUGACCGAUAGUGAACCAGUACCGUGAGGGAAAGGCGAAAAGAACCCCGGCGAGGGGAGUGAAAAAGAACCUGAAACCGUGUACGUACAAGCAGUGGGAGCACCCUUUGGGGUGUGACUGCGUACCUUUUGUAUAAUGGGUCAGCGACUUAUAUUCUGUAGCAAGGUUAACCGAAUAGGGGAGCCGGAGGGAAACCGAGUCUUAAUUGGGCGUUAAGUUGCAGGGUAUAGACCCGAAACCCGGUGAUCUAGCCAUGGGCAGGUUGAAGGUUGGGUAACACUAACUGGAGGACCGAACCGACUAAUGUUGAAAAAUUAGCGGAUGACCUGUGGCUGGGGGUGAAAGGCCAAUCAAACCGGGAGAUAGCUGGUUCUCCCCGAAAGCUAUUUAGGUAGCGCCUCGUGAAUUCAUCUCCGGGGGUAGAGCACUGUUUCGGCUAGGGGGCCAUCCCGGCUUACCAACCCGAUGCAAACUGCGAAUACCGGAGAAUGUUAUCACGGGAGACACACGGCGGGUGCUAACGUCCGUCGUGAAGAGGGAAACAACCCAGACCGCCAGCUAAGGUCCCAAAGUCAUGGUUAAGUGGGAAACGAUGUGGGAAGGCCCAGACAGCCAGGAUGUUGGCUUAGAAGCAGCCAUCAUUUAAAGAAAGCGUAAUAGCUCACUGGUCGAGUCGGCCUGCGCGGAAGAUGUAACGGGGCUAAACCAUGCACCGAAGCUGCGGCAGCGACGCUGAUGCGUUGUUGGGUAGGGGAGCGUUCUGUAAGCCUGUGAAGGUGGCCUGUGAGGGUUGCUGGAGGUAUCAGAAGUGCGAAUGCUGACAUAAGUAACGAUAAAGCGGGUGAAAAGCCCGCUCGCCGGAAGACCAAGGGUUCCUGUCCAACGUUAAUCGGGGCAGGGUGAGUCGACCCCUAAGGCGAGGCCGAAAGGCGUAGUCGAUGGGAAACGGGUUAAUAUUCCCGUACUUGGUGUUACUGCGAAGGGGGGACGGAGAAGGCUAUGUUGGCCGGGCGACGGUUGUCCCGGUUUAAGCGUGUAGGUGUGUGUUCCAGGUAAAUCCGGUUCACUUUAACACUGAGGCGUGAUGACGAGGCACUACGGUGCUGAAGCAACAAAUGCCCUGCUUCCAGGAAAAGCCUCUAAGCAUCAGGUAACAUCAAAUCGUACCCCAAACCGACACAGGUGGUCAGGUAGAGAAUACCAAGGCGCUUGAGAGAACUCGGGUGAAGGAACUAGGCAAAAUGGUGCCGUAACUUCGGGAGAAGGCACGCUGACACGUAGGUGAAGUGAUUUACUCA